rnacentral:misc_RNA from 1 species
GAUGAAGAACGUAGCGAAAUGCGAUAAGUAAUGUGAAUUGCAGAAUUCAGUGAAUCAUCGAAUCUUUGAACGCACAUUGCGCCCGCCAGUAUUCUGCGGGCAUGCCUGUUCGAGCGUCAUUUCAACCAUCAAGCCCCCGGCUUGUGUUGGGGACCUGCGGCUGCCGCAGGCCCUGAAAACCAGUGGCGGGCUCGCUAGUCACUCCGAGCGUAGUAAUACAUCUCGCUCAGGGCGUGCUGCGGGUUCCGGCCGUUAAAAAGCCUUAUUUACCCAAGGUUGACCUCGGAUCAGGUAGGAAGACCCGCUGAACUUAAGCAUAUCAAUAAGCGGAGGA